rnacentral:rRNA from 1 species
AGCAGCCGCGGUAAUUCCAGCUCCAAUAGCGUAUAUUAAAGUUGUUGCAGUUAAAAAGCUCGUAGUUGAAUUUCGGGGUUCUACCGUUGGUCAGGCUUUGUCUGUGCUGGCGUGUAGAAUUUCUACCUUCUGGGGGAACCAUCAUGUUAUUAAUUUAGUGUGAUGGGAAACCAGGACCUUUACCUUGAAAAAAUUAGAGUGUUCAAAGCAGGCUUAUGUCUGAAUACAUUAGCAUGGAAUAAUAGAAUAGGACGGUGGUCCUGUUUUGUUGGUUUCUGAAUCACCGUAAUGAUUAAUAGGGAUAGUUGGGGGCAUUAGUAUUCAAUUGUCAGAGGUGAAAUUCUUGGAUUUAUUGAAGACUAACUUCUGCGAAAGCAUUUGCCAAGGAUGUUUUCAUUAAUCAAGAACGAAAGUUAGGGGAUCGAAGACGAUCAGAUACCGUCGUAGUCUUAACCAUAAACUAUGCCGACUAGGGAUCGGAUGAUGUUAAUUUUUAAUGUACUCAUUCGGCGCCUUACGG